UUAGUGAUUGUUGAUUAGGGGUUGGGCCUGCCCGGUGAGUGUUUAACGGCCGCAGUUAGUAACUGUGCUAAGGUAGCGUAGUAAGUUGUCCUUUAAUUGGGGAAAGGAAUGAAUGGUUUGACGUAGGAAAUUCUGUCUCUUGAGGAGGUAUUGAAAUUUUCUUUUAAGUGAAAAGACUGGAAUAAAAUUAAAAGACGAGAAGACCCUUUCGAGCUUAAUUAUAUAAUACAUAUUAGUGUUAUGAAAAUUUGGUUGGGGCAACCGAGGAGCAAGAUGAGACUCCUUGAAGUAGUAUGGAUCCAAAAGUUUUGAAUAAAGAAAAAGCUACCGUAGGGAUAACAGCGUUAUCUUUUCUGAGAGAACAAAUUGAAGGAAAGGUUUGCGACCUCGAUGUUGAAUUAGAGUUUCCGAUGGGCGCAGAAGCUCAGAUGGUAAGACUGUUCGUCUUUUAAAACU
rnacentral:rRNA from 1 species